rnacentral:rRNA from 1 species
UACGUAGGUGGCAAGCGGUGUCCGGAUUUACUGGGCGUAAAGAGCGCGCAGGCGGUCGAUCAAGUCGCGUGUGAAAGCCCCCGGCUCAACUGGGGAGGGUCACGCGAUACUGAUCGACUCGAAGGCAGGAGAGGGUAGUGGAAUUCCCGGUGUAGUGGUGAAAUGCGUAGAUAUCGGGAGGAACACCAGUGGCGAAGGCGACUACCUGGCCUGUUCUUGACGCUGAGGCGCGAAAGCUAGGGGAGCAAACGGG